UGCUUGGACAAAACCAUGAGCGCGCCAUCAUGCUGUCUGUGAUGCUCGUAUACCAGUACUACUGUAUGUUAUCCACUUAUCCUCCCCCGUGAGAAUUUUACGUAUUUGUUUGUACUUUUUAGCGCUGCACAAUCUGGUUUUUGUGGGAGCAGUGUUGCUCAAUCAUCAGGCCAGUCAGUAAAAAACUUCGAUUGUUUUUUACCUACUACUGGCACGUUGGUGUCCUU
rnacentral:lncRNA from 1 species